rnacentral:lncRNA from 1 species
AUAAGAAUUCUUCUAACACACCGUCUGAAGGUGCACCUCUCUGAUGGGGGAGGGCAGUUCUUCCUGGUCAGAAGUUGGACCUGGCAUUUGAAAAUCUUGACUGCCUUGUUGAUACCACAGAAUGUGUCACCUGGGAGUCAGACACAUGAGUCCCAGCUCUCUGUCCCAGACUCCGUCUAUGGAACUUGGAUCUCCACCAAGAAAGAAGUAGAACCAAGCUGAGAAUCAUCUCUAGCUCUUGGAGGAUUCAUAGAGCUGCAAAUCAAGAGGCUAACAUCCCAGUGGUUGAGCUCAGCCAGCAGAUUCUUAAUCAUAAAAUCUAUAGUUCCCCUGUCUGCAGCAGAGCAGACAAAUCCCUCAUUUUGAUGGAAAUGAGAGAGUGAAAUGUCCAGACAGCCUGACAAGAGAGGCAGAGAGCUUCCUUCCCAACGUUUAUUUUAUCCUUUCUCAGCCUUCUUGCUUAUCCUCUCUACCCCUCUCAACAAGAGGACGAGGCAUAUAACCAAAAUCUCAGGGCAAACUGUCCUGCAGCUCAUCAAGUGUGUCUUGCCAGACACCAGCCUAAUGAUUUUUGGACAAUUAGGACCAGCCCAAGCAGCCAGGGAUGGAGCAGACCUGCCGCGGACUCUGUCCCCUGUCUUGCCACUGUCUCUAUUGAUCAAGGAGCAUGGUCCCAGCCUCAGGAGUGUGCCUUUGCCAACUGCUCAGCAGGAACAAUCUGAACUCCGCCUUCCCUUUGCUCCGUGUACCUCUCGACAACCACUGGCCUUGUCAGUCAUGCUGAGCAGAGCCUCAAGAGUUGCCAAAUGAACUUGGCCCUGGGCCACCAAUGCUUCUUGAUUCAGAGGAGAUGAGAUGCUCAAAAGCUUUGAACUCAGGAGAAGAAGGGGCCUGGUCUUCUUUAAUAGUUUGAGCAUACCCUGCAGUGGGUUCACUGAAUUAUGUUGUCACAAGAUACUUACAAAAUAGAGUUCAAAUGAUGCCAGGUACUCUACCCACGAACAACUCAGUUGGCCAUACUUGCAAACCCAACCCUGUAGGACAGGAUUUGUAAAUGUUGAUGAGUAGUACCCAUCACUAUCACUGGUGGGUACUGGAGAUGGGCUGGUGGCUCCUGAGCAAGUCAAAGUGAAUUAACAGUCUUGUGAUGGCUAUCCUAAGGUAGUUUCCCAGACUUGAUGUUCUUCCAUGUCUGUGAGGGUAGGCAGGAGGAAAAGAGAGGCAUAGCUAAAUAAGUUUGGGAGUCUCAGUCACUUGGAUGAUGCCUCUAGCCUUAGAUUUUGAUCUGUCAGUGCACUAUAUUGGAGGAGAAAAUCCUUCGGGCAAGGACAUUGCUGCCGAGGAGCAGCCAGUGAAGGCUGCAGAGCUUGAACAACGGCUGAAAAGAUCGUAGUGAAAGAGGCUUCUCCUCUUAUCCUCUCUCCUUCUCCAAACUUCAUUGAUCGCCAGGGAACUCAGCCAAGAGGAUGGGAAUCAAAUACAUCUCAGCAACAAAAAAAGAGCAAGCUACUGAUACUUGCAACAACAUGGAUUAAUCUCAAAAACGUUAUAUUAAGGGAAGAGAAACAGACACAGAAAGUUCAGAUUGUUUCUUUUAUACAGAGUUCGAGAAGAGAGAAAACUAAUCCAUGUGACAGAAAUCAGAGCACGGUUGUCUUCGGGGGUGGGUAGGAAGGCGACAGGAGGAAACUUCGUAGAGUGACGGGAGCGUUCUUUGUUUUGGUCUAGGUGGAGUUACGUGAGUGCAUUGAGCUGUACACUUAGUUGUGCAUUUUAAUGUGUGUUGACUGUGCCUGAAUAAUGUACUGUCAGCAUUAAAACAGAGGAAGAUGGGGUCAGGAAAUACGAGAGAAGCUCUCUUAGCCAGUCUCUCCUUUCGAGUGUCACCGGAAGCCCAGUGCUACAGUUUCCUCCUGACUCGGCAAGGCCAGGAGGGUGGGCCACUCCCUCCCACACCUGCACGCUUCUGCGGCCUCCAGAGGCAGUAGGAUGAAAAAGAAGACAUUUGGACAACUCUGCCCUGUCAACCCCUCUCUGCUCAGAGGUGCACAAAGGCAUGGAGUGUUACAGAGGAAGAAACUUUGAAUGGAGAACACUCAAUUCGAGCCCAUUCAUUAAUAGGUGAAGAAUCCGAGGCCCAACAGCAAGGUGACUUCCUAACUUCAACCAGGCACCACCAUGGAAAAUCAGGGCCUGUUUUGGGUCUCAGUAAUCCGGAAGAACAAUGCACUUCAGGGCCCAAUGUCUAACAGCCGAUUUCCUAGAAGCAACUGCAGAGGGUGAGGACAACCCAAAAUUCAUCUCAUUUCUCAAAGAGAAGACAAAAUUUCUCCCAGAGGACUUUUGGCAGUGUCUGGAGACAUUUUUGUUGUCACAACUUGGGGAUGGGGUAUGGUGGUGCUACUGGAUGCUGGCGUUUACAGGCCAGGGAUACCCCUCAACAUCCUGAAAUGCAGAGGACAGCCCCACAACAAAGAGCUAUGCAGCCCCAAAUCUCAACAGCGCUGAAGUUGAGCAAGCUCCUUUAUUCCUAUUCAUUUCCUGUUGAUUAAUGAUGGAAUUCUUAGAGCGCACUCACGCUUGACGUCUUCAAGCGGUAAAAGGUAUCACUGUCCCCAUGCACUACUACUUUCAAGAAAUGCUGUGUUCAUUAUUGGCUAUUUGUGUUUCUUGAAUUUUAGUGAUUUCUGUAUCACUUUCACUUUUUAGCCGAUCAUCGUUGUAUAAGACAAUUUGUACUCUAGUAUACAGCAACAAAUUGCUUGCCCUGAAUUUACAUUUAGCUGUUUUUCUUUAAUAAAAAUCAAAGAAUUGUGUGUCCUGCCUUUGUAAGUCCUAAACACAUAGCGUAAGUUUUUGCCGACUGUGAAUUUUUAAUACUAACUUCAAAUAAAACAGUUUUUUGGAGACCAUAAUGUCGGUUUUAAAAAAUGAAAAAUCUAAAACCAUCUACUUCCACGUGGAGUAGCAUAGCAGCU